CCUACGGGCGGCAGCAGUGGGGAAUAUUGCACAAUGGGCGCAAGCCUGAUGCAGCCAUGCCGCGUGUGUGAAGAAGGCCUUCGGGUUGUAAAGCACUUUCAGCGGGGAGGAAGGCGUUAAGGUUAAUAACCUUGGCGAUUGACGUUACCCGCAGAAGAAGCACCGGCUAACUCCGUGCCGGCAGCCGCGGUAAUACGGAGGGUGCAAGCGUUAAUCGGAAUUACUGGGCGUAAAGCGCACGCAGGCGGUCUGUCAAGUCGGAUGUGAAAUCCCCGGGCUCAACCUGGGAACUGCAUUCGAAACUGGCAGGCUAGAGUCUUGUAGAGGGGGGUAGAAUUCCAGGUGUAGCGGUGAAAUGCGUAGAGAUCUGGAGGAAUACCGGUGGCGAAGGCGGCCCCCUGGACAAAGACUGACGCUCAGGUGCGAAAGCGUGGGGAGCAAACAGGAUUAAAUACCCCAGUAGUC
rnacentral:rRNA from 1 species